rnacentral:lncRNA from 1 species
CACAUCAAUUCCACCUCUUCCCUCCCUUCCAUACAUUGCCCACCCUUUGGCUCCAUCCAUGUCUUAUUUCACUUCCAUCACCAGGGUCCUUUGUCUCUGACUUUAACUUAUUUCUCAGUGAGUUUUAUAUCUCUUUACCCAUUCCUGUCCCAUCCUUCAAGUAUCUAAAUUCAUCCAUUUCCCCCAGUCCAGGUCUCAACAUGUAUACCUAUCUCCCUCUCUCAGUCACUGUGGCUAACUAUUUCUCUUUGCAUGUGUCUCCUCACUUUUGCUUUUCCUCCCUCCUUGUGCCUACACUGCAUCCUUCCCACAUUCAUGCAUUGCUUCUCAUUGAGAUUUGAUUCAUUC